GUUAAAGACACUAAUUAUAUAUAAGAGGUAGAGAGUGUGAAAAUAAACUUGUCAGAUAGGUGUAGCAACUUUCCGAAACAUGUUUUACUCCUUUUAUUCUCAAAGAGUGGCCCAUUAUUUGCAAGUUAAGGCCCAUUAACUAAAACCACCAAAUGUUCCCACAAACCCUAAAGCCUCAGAACAGAACCCGGUCACUAUAAAAUCGAAUAAUACCUUCAUUGCUACGAAUAUCAUAGCCGCCGCUGGUUUUUCCAAAGCCAUAGGGAAAUCUAUGAAUUCAUUUAUAGUAAACAACUUCAUUAAUUUAGCGCUCAUACGCUUUUGAAUGCUUGAAAACCAAUGAAUCCAACAUGAGAUGGACGUGAACCUCAUUAAAGGAAAGGUUGGUUAGAUUUUGGAAUCUGUAUUUGGAAUGUAGAUAAGAGAAGAAAAAUAGCUUUGACAACGAUCUAUUAGCCGUAUCAUGUUUUUUCUAUAUAUGAUCUCUAACUUCUGUUACGAAUGCCUCCAAGGCAGUGUCUAUUCUCCAAUCCGUAUCAUGUUUCUUCUAGAUAUUAUCUAGGCUUAUGCUAUGUUUCACCAGCAUACCAUUAACCUAAACACCAUGUUUAUUUACCUAUAAAAAAUACAAAGCAUACUGCUAGAAUAUGAUACUAACGUGGUUGAUUAGCAAAUCUCUACAAGUAACCUUGUUGUAAUAUGUUUUUAAAAUAAACUAUACUUUAAGCGGUUUUCAAAUUUAAUUUUAGUUUAUCCUUUCUUCUUGA